rnacentral:rRNA from 1 species
GAUGAACGCUGGCGGCGUGCCUAAUACAUGCAAGUCGAGCGAACGGACGAGAAGCUUGCUUCUCUGAUGUUAGCGGCGGACGGGUGAGUAACACGUGGAUAACCUACCUAUAAGACUGGGAUAACUUCGGGAAACCGGAGCUAAUACCGGAUAAUAUUUUGAACCGCAUGGUUCAAAGUGAAAGGCGGUCUUGCUGUCACUUAUAGAUGGAUCCGCGCUGCAUUAGCUAGUUGGUAAGGUAACGGCUUACCAAGGCAACGAUGCAUAGCCGACCUGAGAGGGUGAUCGGCCACACUGGAACUGAGACACGGUCCAGACUCCUACGGGAGGCAGCAGUAGGGAAUCUUCCGCAAUGGGCGAAAGCCUGACGGAGCAACGCCGCGUGAGUGAUGAAGGUCUUCGGAUCGUAAAACUCUGUUAUUAGGGAAGAACAUAUGUGUAAGUAACUGUGCACAUCUUGACGGUACCUAAUCAGAAAGCCACGGCUAACUACGUG